UACGUAGGGGGCAAGCGUUGUCCGGAUUUAUUGGGCGUAAAGUGCGUGUAGGCGGCUAGAUAGGUCCGUUGUGAAAACUCGAGGCUCAACCUCGAGACGCCGGUGGAAACCAUCUAGCUAGAGUCCGGAAGAGGAGAGUGGAAUUCCUGGUGUAGCGGUGAAAUGCGCAGAUAUCAGGAAGAACACCCGUGGCGAAGGCGGCUCUCUGGUACGUGACUGACGCUGAGACGCGAAAGCGUGGGGAGCGAACAGG
rnacentral:rRNA from 1 species